GUGCCAGCAGCCGCGGUAAUACGGAGGAUGCGAGCGUUAUCCGGAUUUAUUGGGUUUAAAGGGUGCGUAGGCGGGAUAUUAAGUCAGCGGUGAAAGUUUUCGGCUCAACCUUAAAAUUGCCGUUGAAACUGUUAUUCUUGAGUGCAGUAGAGGUAGGCGGAAUUCGUUGUGUAGCGGUGAAAUGCGUAGAUAUAACGAGGAACUCCGAUUGCGUAGGCAGCUUACUAUAUUGCUACUGACGCUGAGGCACGAAAGUGUGGGUAUCAAACAGGAUUAGAUACCCUGGUAGUCCACACAGUAAACGAUGAAUACUAGCUGUUUGCGAUAUAUUGUAAGCGGCCGAGCGAAAGCAUUAAGUAUUCCACCUGGGGAGUACGUCGGCAACGAUGAAACUCAAAUAAAUUGACGG
rnacentral:rRNA from 1 species